rnacentral:misc_RNA from 1 species
AGAGAAAGCACCCAAGGAGCUGUAG